rnacentral:rRNA from 1 species
CCUACGGGGGGCAGCAGUGGGGAAUAUUGCGCAAUGGGCGAAAGCCUGACGCAGCGACGCAGCGUGAGGGAUGAAGGUCUUCGGAUUGUAAACCUCUGUCAGCAGGGAAGAACGGUCACUGUGCUAAUCAGCAGUGAAUUGACGGUACCUGCAAAGGAUGCACCGGCUAACUCCGUGCCAGCAGCCGCGGUAAUACGGAGGGGGCGAGCGUUAAUCGGAAUUACUGGGCGUAAAGCGCUCGUAGGCGGUAUGUCAAGUCAAGGGUGAAAUCCCCGGGCUCAACGUGGGAACUGCCUUUGAAACUGGCAAACUAGAGUGUGUGAGAGGUAAGUGGAAUUCCCGGUGUAGGGGUGAAAUCCGUAGAUAUCUGGAGGAACAUCAGUGGCGAAGGCGACUAUCUGGCACAUAACUGACGCUGAGGAGCGAAAGCGUGGGUAGCAAACAGGAUUAGAUACCCUUGUAGUC